UGAAAUAAAUGGACAGAAGCUAAUGACUUGUAUAAAUACAGGGAAAAACCUUUGGGAAUAUACAUGAGGAGGAAGAUAACAAGAGGAAGGUGUGCCUAUCUUCAGGUCUAAUAAGACAGAUUUAAAAUAAAAUAAGGACUUAGAAAAUUUAAAUACUAUAAUUAAUAUGCUUGAAUAUGUAUUUAGCCUCUCAUCUAUAAAAAGCGGAUAGGACUUCCUUCCUGUUGUAAUGUUCUUCGGGUAGUAAAAGGAUGCUUCAUCCCAAUAAACAACCCUGCAGGUUGGGGCUAUUUGUUGAGCUUUUGGAAAUUCCAGAGCAUAAUUUCUAGGAGCUGAGCUGUUCAUCCCAGAAUUCUGGACUCAAUCCCAAGGAAAGGACCAAAAUUCCCCUUUGCUUUCAAUUAGAGAAGUGACCUGUGCUCCUGAGUUCCAGCGGCAUGGAGUGUUCUGGGAGGGGCAGCUGGGAUCCUGCCCAGGGUCGGGUCAGCACUGGAAGUCUGGCAGGAAUUCUUCACUGACACAUGAAUGAGAGCGGGUGCCCUUGGUGCUGACUCUUAGCUGGCGACCCUCUUCUCCCUCCUCGGGCUAAGCACGCCCCCUUUGGGGAACAGAAAAGGAACAGAGAGCCGGACUGUGCGGAAAUUCAUCCAUCUGCAGGCGUUGUUAAGGGAACUGCGGCUGAAAUUACGUUUGCGGGUUCCUCCCUUUCCUCUUUGUCAACACCCCCACCCACCUCUUAAGAAAAAGAAAGAAAGAAAGAAAGAAAAAGCUUUGAUUCUUAGUCCAAGUGGGAUCUGAAGGAUUGCGACACCGUCUGUUCACAUCUGCAUCCUCAGUACCUGUCAAUGUCCCUGGCAUUGAGUAGAAGCCCAGAAGAGGUUAAGUGAAUGAAUACAACCGCCAUGUCUUUUGCAACCAAUCAGAAACUGUGUGUCAGCAUUUUCUCAAGUGUCAUCCAUGACACUCAUUGAUGAACCCCACUGAAUCUGCAAAUAAACAAGAAAUAAAUGGAAG
rnacentral:lncRNA from 1 species